GGAUUGUUACCUCCAUAACGUUUCAAUUUUAAGGGACAAAUUUAAAAUGGAUCAAAAUCAGAACCUUCGAAAAUUCGAAGGAAUUUCGAGAAACAAUGAUAAAUCUCCUCUGUUUCUUGAUUAAACAACUGUUAUGAAUCCCCAUUAGUUGUUGCCACUGCCUCAAAUUCACCUGCCAUAAAACUGUCACCAUCAAAAUAGCGAAGAAACUAUUCCUCUAUAGUAACUACAUUCAAAUGGUAAUUGAUAAUCAAGCAGAGCCUGCCAUUUGAAUUCUCACCCCUUACGAUAAAAUAUAUAAAACUGUAACAAUAAUUCUGAGUGGAAUGUUAUUUCCCAUCAAUUCUAUUUCGCCAUGGAGUCUCACUUGUAGUCUCUUUAGAUCCCAUCAAACUGGCUUAUGUUAUUGAUAAACAACAACACAAUUUCAACAUGAAUUAUUAAAAAAUGUAUGAACAAAUAUAUUAAGUAGUUGAUCAAAGAUAACUCCCCAAAUUUUGGCAUGUCAAUUUAUAUACACAGAGAUGAAGAUUUGCCUUUGAGUUGUUGAACAAUCUUCCGGUCAUCAUUUGUUGAAAUAAGAUAGGUUGCAA
rnacentral:lncRNA from 1 species